ensembl:lncRNA
GAAAAAGAAGCACUUCAGUUUGUCUUCAGUUUGCUGUUUUUAAAACAUAAUUGCUAUUAUAUCCAAAUACAGUGUGAAACUUUUUGAAUUGUCAUGCUGAAAUAUGUGCCGUAUGUUGACUAAGCUUGAAAGUAACUUUUUGCCUCUUUCUGAUUGUUUUUACAUAUGAAAUUACCGGAUACUGUGUAUAACAUAAACCUUCUGAGCCUCUGCAUUGAAAGAUUCAAGUAGAGUCAUGUUGAAAUGAGGAUUCACACAUUAUAUUUGCUUGUUUUUAUUUUUUAGAGCAGUCCAUCACUGGUGUUAUCAGAGCUAUAGGGAAAAAAGUAUUUCACUGGUGUGAGACAAAUUCUUGCCUCUAGUUCUUACCAGCAGUGUUGCCCUGCUGUCAUGACAACUUGGAUGAAUUUGUGGUGGAUAGGGUAGAAGUUAAAAUGAAUAUUAAUUCUUCAGCUUUCUUUUGUCAAUAUUUUGGCAUCUGACUUUGUAAUCAGAUUUGAUUUUUGAAAGUAUUUUGUCUUUUUAUAUAGUCAGACAACAAUCCCAAUAGCUUCCCCAGAAAUUUGAGGUGAGGAAUUUCUUUUUACUUGAAUCCAUCUUUAUUUAAAAUGUAAUGAUAGAAUCACCUGUAUUUUGAAUUUAAACCUGUUCCAAAGUUUUGAAGGAGACCAAAUAGCCAGUGUUUGUUAAGAUUACUACGACUAGAAAUGCAAAUCCCAUAAGCAGCUUAAAAAAAAACUGAUCACACAAUGUGUGGAUGCUUCUUGAUAAAUUUCCCCUCAAACUAAGUUGUGAUAAUUUUAUCCCUUUAUAAUCACUAGCCUGAGCAGUAGUAUUUCCUUUUAAGUAAUACAGACUGCUUCCCAUGCUUUUGUUUUUAGACCUUAGUCUGGCAAUGAAGGCUUCAGUUGGUGUGUUCAAUGCUUAGAGGUAAGCACAUGUUUAAGUUCUUUGAGCAGUGAAAAAUGGAGAUACACGGGGCCCUUUACAUCAAAGCUGAGUGUUUUGUGAACAAAAGCUGUAAUCAUUUACUAGAAAUAUUUUUGCUUCUCUAUUUGUAACAAUAACCAAAACUCACUGCUUUUGUUAGUGCAGAAGAUUCUGUGGAUUUACUUCGCUUCUUCAUCAGGAGAAGAAUUUGAGGUCUAAAGAACCUCGCAUCAGCUGUUCUGAUCUCUUGUGAUGACAGAGGUAGACUU